GAAAGCGCGAAACGUAAUGUGAAUUGCAGAAUUCAGUGAAUCAUCGAAUCUUUGAACGCACCUUGCGCUCCUCGGCAUUCCGAGGAGCAUGCCCGUUUGAGUGUCGUGAAGUCUCUCGAAACCGCGCCUUUUUCUUUUCGAAAGGGGAGCGGCCUUCGGAUUUGGACGCCUGCCGCGCGCGCGCCCUUCGGGGUUUCGUGGCUCGUCUCUAAACGCAUUAGCGAACCGCCCACGUCCGCUCUCAGACGCGAUAAGCUUGCGUCGUCAACGAGCGGUCGCGUCGGGUUUAGCCGUCCGCUGCUAAAAAAGAACCUAAUUUCACCGAUCUGACCUCAAAUCGGGUAGGACUACCCGCUGAACUUAA
rnacentral:rRNA from 1 species